rnacentral:rRNA from 1 species
UACGUAGGGAGCAAGCGUUGUCCGGAAUCAUUGGGCGUAACGCGCGCGUAGGUGGCUCUGUAAGUCCGUUGUGAAAGUCAAAGGCUCAACCUUUGAAAGCCGAUGGAUACUGCAGAGCUAGAGUACGGAAGAGGCGAGUGGAAUUCCUGGUGUAGCGGUGGAAUGCGCAGAUAUCAGGAGGAACACCAAUAGCGAAGGCAGCUCGCUGGGACGUUACUGACACUGAGGCGCGAAAGCGUGGGGAUCAAACAGG